AGAGAGAGAGAGAGAGAGAGAGAGAAGUGAGGUGUAACUGAGAUUUGCAUUAACAGGACUGAAUAAUUUCAUUUCUCCCAAAAUAGCAAUUGCCAGUCCAUGCUUCAGUGCUCUGCGAGUGUUUAUAGCCCUGUGACUUUAACACUUCAUGACUGAGAGCUGCUGCUCAGCAACUUCACCCACAGCAACCAUGACUUUGAUCAGCGUCUUCAUCUGCACACUGGCCCUCUGGACUCAAGGAUCCAGAAGUCAGGUGACUGUGACUCAGACUCCUUCAGUGCAAACUGUUGUUCCAGGAAAAACAGUCACCUUCAACUGUAGAACCAGUAGCAGUGUGUAUAGUGGUAACUAUCUCGCCUGGUACCUGCAGAAACCUGGAGAAGCUCCUAAACUCCUGAUCUAUGCUGCUACUAGCUUACAGUCAGGAACUCCAGCUCGUUUCAGUGGCAGUGGAUCUAAUACUGACUUCACUCUGACCAUCAGAGGAGUCCAGGCUGAAGAUGCAGGAGAUUACUACUGUCAGAGUUACCAUUAUAUCAGUAGUAGUAGUGUGUUCACACAGUGUUAGAGCGCCGUACAAAAACCUCGGUCAGUGAGAGUGCACAGAGAAGCUCUGCUGCAGCUGGGAGCGACUGCAGGUGCUGAGGGGGAGGAUGUGAUGCAGCACAAUGACACACACUGUGGACGAGAGAAAACACACCACACUAACUCACUAAUGCACACACACAUCUGUGAGAGGAGUCCACCUUUCUCAGCUGUGGACAUACAAACUAUUCCUCAUCAUUCCCAUUCACUGCUUAGUUAUUAUCUUUAUCCUGAUUUAGAAAGUUAAAGAAGUAUUUAUUAUAUUUAUAUUUUGUUGCAUUUAUGAUUUAUGAUUUAAUAUCAAACACUAUUAUAGAUUUAAUAUUUUAUUAUAUAAUUUUAAUGAUCAUUAAAUAGAGCUUCUUUAUAGAGUUGAGUCCGACAUUUAACUGAAUAUUUCUUUAAUUAAUAACGAUUAAUUAAUAAUUAUUAACCAUUAGAUAACGAUUAAUUCAGUGUAGCAUUCGCAAGUCAGUAUAAACCAGAGAAUUAUUUAAAAGCAUGACAAAAUACAUUUAUAAAUUGAUAUUAUAAAUAAACUUUACAUUUCUAUAAGCUGUAAAAUGUCAUAAAUAAACAUGCAAAUAUUUUUGCCCCUUUUAUCCCCCAUAUUUAAUCAGGGACAUGAUCAGACUUACUGGGAUCAUCAAAGUUCUCUGCAAACACAAUAAGUCUUGCACAGCAGCUUGGUACAGUAAGACAUUUUGAAAACACCCACGUUACCGUACCACGUUAUUACGUGACUUGCAAAGCUGAUUGUGUUUGUAGAGAAGAGAAGUUAGGCCAGGGGUUCCUGAGAGGUUCCUAAACUUAAUAGGUACGGAUUUUCUGUGACCCAAAGCCUUCACCACUACAUUUUGAACAUUGUAUUAUGUCAGUAACACAUGGGUAACGUAAGUGUCUAAAAACCAAAGGAAUAUUCCUUGCACUGGUUUACCAGUCUAGUGGGAGGAGUGAACUUGCAGGUUUUAACACAGCUUUUUAUAAAAUCAACUGAUCCACAGCUGAGCGCAGACUCAGAAUAAACUCCCUGGUGAGCAUUAAGGCGUCUGCUUGACUUUGUCGCAGAAAGAUACAUGCCGCUCAUCCCAAGAAAAACCUCCACCUGGUUUCAGCGGUCGUGGAUUAUGGGAUAGAAUUUGUAAAACUCACUUGAAUAUGCAGGAGAUCAGUACUGUCACACAACUCAUGCUGGUGUGGACAAAAGUCGCUCAUAGCAGUGAUGUGGUCUAGGUUAAUUUGCAAUACAUUCCUUAGAGAUAGUUGCCUCUGGUGAGCUUUCUAUCGGGAAAAUGACACACUAGGCCCUGCUAUACAAUAUAAACCUUGUUAGGGUCUACAUCAUAAUGAGAAGCUUUGUUACUUACUCAGGUCGAGGUCCGAGCCUCUGGGGCAGGAGCGGCCUUACGCCUCAGGAUUACUCGAUCACCAGACGAAGAAAAUAAGAAACUCUAUUCUUCGUCUAUUAUAGAAAAAGAGGACUCACUAGUCAUUUCUAGAGUUUACAAAUCUCCACCUAAGUGGAUUUGGUUUAUUACAGAAUAGUUUCAAGCAGGAUAACAGUUAACAAUACAGUAGUUAACUAUACCUAAUGGCGUAGAUCUUCACCACAUAAAACUUGGUGAAGAAUGAACAUAUUCAGACAUAUUAUAUACAUUUCAGCUGGCACACUGGACCCCGAUUUUUAUAAAUAGGACCUUUGGUGUCAACUGUCAUCACAUCAAUUCAGUAUAUGAGUCAGAGGUUACAAGUUCAUUUUUCAGAAUAGCACACAAUGUACUUUCAAGAGAGAAUUUCAAACCUAUAAGUCACUGAGCACAAGAUGUCAG